rnacentral:lncRNA from 1 species
GAUCCACCACCUGAAUUCUUGCAUUUCCUCUAAUCACAUACAGGGCACUAUGUGCAUUGAUAUUCCAGUGUGGUGCAAAAAUGGCAUUCUGCAAUUACCAAACAACAAACUCAAUCACUCAUUUCACGUAACAAAAUUUAUGUAUUAAUGCUAUUGUGUUUGCUUACGCUGUAGAGGAAUCCUCUUUCUGCACUAAGUUGGAGGCUGCUGAGGAUAGGAAUCUUUUGGCUAUUAACAGUGGUAAUGCGGCCAGCACGAGGAUUGAAUACAUCAGCCUCUUGGGGGAGGCCAAUGUUUUCACUAAGCUUCACCGUGCACAAAGUUUCCUCAAGUCCAUUGGAUCUCCAUCCUCUUCCAACACCCUGUUGUUGCUGCUCCUGCUGUUGUUGGGGUUGUUGCUCUUGCUCACUAUAUUCAGGCAGGAACAGUUGAAGUUUUUCAGCUCGGACUGUGCUACCCCUUUUAUCUUUCGGACCCUUCAAUUUCUGUAUUAUUUUGAGGUCAACAUUGAAAGCAUCAGCCAAAAGUUGGUCAUCAAAUCCUGAGAAGAUGUUUCUAUGCUGCUGCUGCUGGCCUUGAUGGCCUUCCUUUCCACCACCC